AGGCCAAUCAAACCCGGAGAUAUCUCGUUCUCCCCGAAAUAGCUUUAGGGCUAGCGUCGCGCGUUCACCGCCGGAGGUAGAGCACCGGAUGGACGAGGGGGCUUCGCCGCCUACCGAAUCCAACCGAACUCCGAAUGCCGGCGGCCCAGAGCGCGGCAGUCAGAGCAUGUGGGCUAAGCUGUGUGCUCGAGAGGGAAACAGCCCGGACCGCCCGCUAAGGUCCCCAAGUUCCAGCCGAGUGGCAAAGGAUGUGCGUCCGCCCAGACAACCAGGAUGUUGGCUUAGAAGCAGCCAUCCAUUCAAAGAGUGCGUAACAGCUCACUGGUCGAGUGGACAUGCGCCGACAAUACACGGGGCUAAGCUGGACACCGAAGCGGCGGGAUUUUAAUUCAUUAGAAUCGGUAGGGGAGCUUCCCAUGGGCGGAGAAGCCGGAGGGCGACCGACGGUGGAGCGCAUGGGAGUGAGAAUGCUGGCAUGAGUAGCGAGAGACGAGAGAGUAACUCGUCCGCCGUGAACCCGAGGUUUCCUGGGCAAGGCUAAUCCUCCCAGGGUCAGUCGGGGGCUAAGGCGAGGCCGGUAGGCGUAGCCGACGCGCAGCAGGCAGACAUUCCUGCACCGCGCACGCGGCGCUACGACCGACGGGGCGACGGAUGGGGGUGGCUCGGCGGGGUUCUGGACGUCCCCGUGAUGGAGCGCGGCCCGCGGACCAGGGAAAUCCGGUCCGCACGAAGGGCGAGGCUCCGGACGAAGCACUUAAGCGAAGCGAGUGAGCCCGAGGUCCCUAGAAAAACCCCUAGGCAGGCGCGUGCGCGCCCGUACCGCAAACCGACACAGGUGGGUGGGUAGAACAUACCGAGGCGAUCGGGUCAACCAUGGUCAAGGAACUCGGCACAAUGGCCCCGUAACUUCGGGAGAAGGGGUGCCCGCGCGUACGUGAACCGGCUUGCCCGGGGAGCGGAGGCGGGCCGCAGUGGAGAGGCCCAAGCGACUGUUUACCAAAAACACAGGACUCUGCAGAAGCCGCAAGGCGACGUAUAGGGUCUGACGCCUGCCCGGUGCCGGAAGGUCACGCGGAGGAGUUAGCCGUUAAGGCGAAGCCCCGAAGCCAAGCCCCGGUAAACGGCGGCCGUAACUAUAACGGUCCUAAGGUAGCGAAAUUCCUUGUCGGGUAAGUUCCGACCUGCACGAAAGGCGCAACGACUUGGGCGCUGUCUCGACCAUGGACCCGGUGAAAUUGCACUGGUCGUGAAGAUGCGACUUACCCGCGGAAGGACGGAAAGACCCCGUGAACCUUCACUGCAGCUUGGCAUUGGCCGCUGGUCCCGCGUGUAGAGGAUAGGCAGGAGGCAUCGAUCCGGAGGCGCCAGCCCCCGGGGAGCCGCCCUUGGAAUACUGCCCUCGCGCGACCGGCGUCCUAACCCGAGGCCGUCAACCGGCUCGGGGACCGUGCCAGGCGGGCAGUUUGACUGGGGCGGUCGCCUCCUAAAGGGUAACGGAGGCGCGCGAAGGUCCGCUCGGGACGGUCGGCAACCGUCCUUUUGAAUGCAAGAGUACAAGCGGGCUUGACUGCGAGGCCCACAAGCCGAGCAGGUGCGAAAGCAGGCUCUAGUGAUCCGGCGGCCCCGAGUGGGUGGGCCGUCGCUCAACGGAUAAAAGGUACUCCGGGGAUAACAGGCUGAUCUUGCCCAAGAGUCCACAUCGACGGCAAGGUUUGGCACCUCGAUGUCGGCUCAUCGCAUCCUGGGGCUGGAGCAGGUCCCAAGGGUACGGCUGUUCGCCGUUUAAAGCGGUACGCGAGCUGGGUUCAGAACGUCGUGAGACAGUUCGGUCCCUAUC
rnacentral:rRNA from 1 species